rnacentral:lncRNA from 1 species
CCUGUCCAAACAAACAAAUCUGAAUUCUUUUCACCUUUAUCAUGUAAAUACUAAAAUAUAAAAACAUGGGUUAUCUUUUAUACUUUGAAUGAAUGGUAUUUCAGGAAGAAUAUAAUCUUGCUACGCGACAAAACUUGACCAAAACACGGCUAUCAUAAUCAAAUGUUCCGUUAGAUUCACUUAGAAACAAUAUUAACUUUCCCCAUACCCGUAGCCAGGGGGGGUUCGGGGGGUUCGGACGAACCCCCCCUUGAAAUCAAAUAAGCACUGUUAAAGUCAACGUUUUGUUCAAAUUGUGACUGUUAAAGUCGAGUUCAUGAGUCCAACGAACCCCCCCUUGGAAAUUCCUGGCUACGGGCCUG